rnacentral:rRNA from 1 species
GACGAAGGUGGCGAGCGUUGUUCGGAAUCACUGGGCAUAAAGCGCACGUAGGCGGUGACGUAAGUCGGGUGUGAAAUCCCUCGGCCUAACCGAGGAACUGCGCCCGAUACUGCGUUGCUUGAGGACCAGAGGGGUGCAUGGAAUUUCCGGUGGAGCGGUGAAAUGCGUUGAUAUCGGAAGGAACUCCGGCGGCGAAAGCGAUGCACUGGCUGGUUCUGACGCUGAGGUGCGAAAGCCAGGGAGCAAACGGG